GACAGAGGGUGCGAGCGUUAAUCGGAGUUACUGGGCGUAAAGGGCACGUAGGCGGUUAUGUUAGUCUGAUGUGAAAUACCUGGGCUUAACCUGGGAUGUGCAUGGGAAACGGCAUAGCUAGAGUAUGGGAGAGGGAAGUGGAAUUUCCGGAGUAGCGGUGAAGUGCGUAGAUAUCAGGAGGAACACCUGUGGUGUAGACGGCUCUCUGGACCGCAACUGACGCUGAGACACGAAAGCGUGGGUAGCAAACAGG
rnacentral:rRNA from 1 species